rnacentral:rRNA from 1 species
GACGAACGCUGGCGGCGUGCUUAACACAUGCAAGUCGAACGGUGAAAGGGAGCUCGCUCCCUGGAUCAGUGGCGAACGGGUGAGUAACACGUGGGCAACCUGCCCCAGACUUCGGGAUAACGCUUCGAAAGGAGUGCUAAUACCGGAUACGAACUCCUUGGGCAUCCUUGGGGUUGGAAAGUUUUUCGGUCUGGGAUGGGCCCGCGGCCUAUCAGCUUGUUGGUGAGGUAACGGCUCACCAAGGCGACGACGGGUAGCCGGCCUGAGAGGGCGACCGGCCACACUGGGACUGAGACACGGCCCAGACUCCUACGGGAGGCAGCAGUGGGGAAUAUUGCGCAAUGGGCGAAAGCCUGACGCAGCAACGCCGCGUGAGGGAUGACGGCCUUCGGGUUGUAAACCUCUUUCAGCAGGGAAGAAGCGAAAGUGACGGUACCUGCAGAAGAAGCACCGGCUAACUACGUGCCAGCAGCCGCCGUAACAC